UAAAAUAAUGAUGGUGGUGACAGCCUGAAUUCUCAGGCGUGUCUAAACCUUCUAAACCUCUGUGCACUGUAAUAGUAUCGGGUCUAGGUAACGCAGUCUUUAGGGAUAGCGAAGCUUAGGCCCAAAAACGGUUUCGACCGUAUAAACAACUUUUAAUUUUGACUGACUUUUGUUUCUAACGAAUCAAAAA
rnacentral:misc_RNA from 1 species